GCAGGCGUGAUGGAAUUGGUAGACAUGCUAGACUUAGGAUCUAGUGCCGCAAGGUGUGAGAGUUCGAGUCUCUCCGCCUGUA
rnacentral:tRNA from 1 species